GCCUGUGUCUGUAUAGAUGGAGGAUAUGUUGUUUUGGGACGCUCUAAUCUUCCACUGGGCAUGAAAAUACUUGGUAUUUGCAUCACCACAAGUGAUCCAGCAUGCUUUUGAUUUCUGUCUCAUGACUUGCUCCUCUACUGUGCUCCAAUAUGCAAUGUCUUGUAAGGCUGUUUUCUCUGCAUCAAAAAGAGGUUGUGAUAAAGUAUUAGUCUGCAUCUGACUUUGGAUGAUGUCCAGUGAUUCUCUAGCCUGUACCAGUUUUUGCUUG
rnacentral:lncRNA from 1 species